CCUAUUUUCUUUACCUCCCGGCGAACGCCCACCAAACAGCAUGCCUGUUCCUCCCUUUCCCGCGUUCCCGCGCGAAUACAAUAUCCUAUAAUCGUCUUUCAUUUUCGAGACUCCCUCAAUUUCUUCUCCCGCCCUCGAAGCCCUCUUCCUCUUCGAAAUCCCUCUGCCCAAUUCUUGCGCUUCAGCUGAGCUUGAACUUUAAGGAUAUGGAUUUUGACAGAGCUAUGCUUGAGAAAAGAUGCACUGGCCAUGUCUCUGAUGCAAUAGUUUAGUAAUUUAUGCUAAUUUGGGUGGUUUCACAUUUGGUACCUUUGCCAAGCCUCCUAAAACUCUAUGUUCACAUCAACAAACUAUUGUGCUUCUUCUUAAUGCUAGUGUUUGAGAUUCUAUAGCUUGAAAAACUUAUAAUUUGAAUCUAGCGUAUAAUGUGUUAUGGAAUAUUUGUGUUAAGAUUACUUGUUUUGUUCCUCAAUUGAUUAAAUGCACCGUUUUGCUCUGCUAGUUGAAGAUAGCGGUUGCAAGAAAUUUUAGUUAGAAACAUAGAACUUCUCAUAGUGCAGUUUGUCUGUAAGAAUUUCUUCAACUUCUAUGCUAGUUUAAUUAUUAAUGGAUGUAUCUUUGGUAUCU